AUUGAACGCUGGCGGCAUGCCUUACACAUGCAAGUCGAACGGCCGCACGGGUGCUUUCCCCCGCUGACGAUUGGCGCACGGGUGAGUAAUACAUCGGGAUAUGCCCCCUAUAGGACUAUAAUCACUUCAAAGCCGGGUUAAUACUACCUACGAUCUUCUUAAACAAGCUGGGGCCCUUCUGACCUCGCGCUUUAGUGUUGCCUGUUGAUUGAUUCGCGCCGCAUUAGCUAGUUGGUCUGGUAACGGCCUACCAAGGCAACGAUGAGUAGCCGAGCUGAGAGGGUGACCAGCCACACUGGAACUGAGACACGGCCCAGACUCCUACGGGAGGCAGCAGUGGGGAAUUUUGGACAAUGGGCGAAAGCCUGAUCGAGCAAUGCCGCGUGUGUGAAGAAGGUCUUCGGGUCGUAAAGCACUGUUAUCCGGAAAGAAAAAAUUGGUACUAAAACAGUCGCGGGAUGACGGUACCGGAAGAGUAAGCACCGGCUAACUACGUG
rnacentral:rRNA from 1 species